UUGACAGAAGAUAGAUAGCAC
rnacentral:miRNA from 1 species